rnacentral:rRNA from 1 species
AGCAGCCGCGGUAAUUCCAGCUCCAAUAGCGUAUAUUAAAGUUGCUGCAGUUAAAAAGCUCGUAGUUGAAUUUCGGGACCAUCAUGUCGGUCGUGCCUCGGUACGUACUGGCAUUGUUGGUUUCUCCCUUCUGACGAACCAUGAUGUCAUUUAUUUGGUGUUGUGGGAAAUCAGGACUGUUACUUUGAAAAAAUUAGAGUGUUUAAAGCAGGCUCACGCUUGAAUACAUUAGCAUGGAAUAAUGAAAUAGGACGUUUGAUUCUAUUUUGUUGGUUUCUAGGAUCGACGUAAUGAUUAAUAGGGAUAGUUGGGGGCAUUAGUAUUCAAUUGUCAGAGGUGAAAUUCUUGGAUUUAUUGAAGACUAACUACUGCGAAAGCAUUUGCCAAGGAUGUUUUCAUUAAUCAAGAACGAAAGUUAGGGGAUCGAAGACGAUCAGAUACCGUCGUAGUCUUAACCAUAAACUAUGCCGACUAGGGAUCGGAUGAUGUUAAUUUUUUAAUGACUCAUUCGGCGCCUUAA